ensembl:lncRNA novel transcript, antisense to FAM59A
GAGAGUCGGUGGAAGGACUGGGUGAGCUCAUCGCGGGCGUAGCUGAGCGAAUUGGGCACGUGGUUGUGGCCAGAGCACCGACCCUUCUUGGGGCUCUUGCAUUCUUCAUUCCAGUCGGUUUUCACAUCACGGACAGCCCGUGAAUACUCAUCGAUGUCGAACUGUUCUUGGCAGAUACCUAGCCAGUGAUGGACCAGGGUUUCGGGCCAGCUCUCUCCCUUCACCAGGUGUUCUGGGAGGCUGAACUUGGGGACAGUCAAGUGCAAAGGAAAGUGCAUGGGGAGGAUCUUGUUGUUCCGCAGCACACAGCAAACCACCACCGUCUUGGUCUGGAUGUUCACAAACUUAUAGCGGUGCCCCUCACGGAUGAAGUGGAGGUCGUAUGGGUUUCUCGGUGGAGGGCUUGGCACAGUCACAUUCACAGGAAGCCUGGUUUUCUCCACAAUGUUGCGGAUGGUGUGUUCGCCCUCUUGCAUCUGAAGUUCCAGGGGACUUCGGGUGCUAAAUCUGCCCUUGCACUGGAAUGGAAGGCUAAUGCUUUCGUUGGUCCGGUGAUUCAUACAAAUGAGGCACGGCAUUUUGCCUUUUCCCAGCUUGCUGAUGGAAUUGAGCUUCCCAAUCUUUUUGAAGAUUGUGUUGAGUCGUGACUUUUCCUUGAAUGUCUUUGCAUAAAGGAUUUCUGCCUGCCCCAUUAGAAUCUGAUAACAAAAGCCCUGACUUGUGUUUAUUCUGACUCAAAAAGUAUGUGGAUGGCAGAAAACAAGAGAAAUAA